CAGGGAUUGCCUCAGUAACGGCGAGUGAAGCGGCAAAAGCUCAAAUUUGAAAUCUAGCACUUUCAGUGUUCGAGUUGUAAUUUGAAGAAGGUAACUUUGGUUUUGGCUCUUGUCUAUGUUCCUUGGAACAGGACGUCACAGAGGGUGAGAAUCCCGUGCGAUGAGAUGCCCAAUUCCAUGUAAAGUGCUUUCGAAGAGUCGAGUUGUUUGGGAAUGCAGCUCUAAGUGGGUGGUAAAUUCCAUCUAAAGCUAAAUAUUGGCGAGAGACCGAUAGCGAACAAGUACAGUGAUGGAAAGAUGAAAAGAACUUUGAAAAGAGAGUGAAAAAGUACGUGAAAUUGUUGAAAGGGAAGGGCUUGAGAUCAGACUUGGUAUUUUGCGUUCCCUUCCUUUUUGGUUGGGUUCCUCGCAGUUUACUGGGCCAGCAUCGGUUUGGAUGGUAGGAUAAUGACAUUGGAAUGUAGCUUUACUUCGGUGAAGUGUUAUAGACUUUGUUGAUACUGCCUAUCUAGACCGAGGACUGCGUCUUUGACUAGGAUGCUGGCGUAAUGAUC
rnacentral:rRNA from 1 species